GAGGAGCUAUAGCAUGUAACAACCAGACAAUGGUAUGUUGCUAGGAACACGAUCAGAAGACGAGGUGAGGAAAAAGGGGCACUAGGGGCUCUACCAGUGUUGUGGUGCACAUGUCACUACACCACCACCUCCUACUCAUUCUCUGAAGCAACAGUGCCGUGGUGAUGAGCUCCAUGGACCCAACAAUGGAAGAGCAGAGUAGAGGAUUGAGGAAGCAUUGAUCAAUUAUAGUGCACGAACAGUACAAGAUUAUCAUGUUGGUGUAGGAUUUCCAACUUAUGAAUGAAGAGUAGAAAUAGGAACUAGUAGCAAGGUUGCGAUUGGCUCAACUCUGCAGUGCAGUUGGCUUGAAGCAUCAAUCCAAUGCAUGACUUUUAAGAACAAGGACUCGACCAUACAAAACUGAUCCUGCCGAAGCUAAGAAGCAAGAUACAUGGCGUCCCAAGUCCAUGCUAUUGUUGCUACCGUGUUCGUUGACAGAAGCCGCUAGCUUUGCCACCUACAGAGGCAUCGGCGCGAAGUGGAUGUCCAGAAUGUGGAAGUGCAGCUGCCCAGUCACUCCUAGUAGGUGCCAUUGAAUCAAUCCUUUCCAAGGCAGAAGGUGCCGCAAGAUGAAUCAAUCCUUGCCAGUCACAUGGUACUGAUGCAUGUUCUCAAUAGGAUAUAGUAAAUAGAAGUGAUAAAAAUUGGUUAAUAGGAAUGUUGUUUCUUCUCCAUCAUCCUAUACCUUGCAACAACAUGAAGUGACGU